GAUCCUGGCUCAGAACGAACGCUGGCGGCAGGCUUAACACAUGCAAGUUGAACGGGAUUGUUAAGUAGCUUGCUAUUUAACAAGAGAGUAGCGCACUGGUGAGUAACACGUGGGAACGUACCUUUUGGUGGGGGACAACAUCUGGAAACGGAUGCUAAUACCGCAUAAGACCUGAGGGUGAAAGAUUUAUCGCCGAAAGAACGGCCGCGGACGGAUAGUCGNUGGUGGGUAAGGGACG
rnacentral:rRNA from 1 species